rnacentral:rRNA from 1 species
CGAGCACGCGCGUGUGGCAUAUCAAUAAGCGGAGGAAAAAGAAACUAACAAGGAUUCCCUUAGUAACGGCGAGUGAAGCGGGAAGAGCUCAAAUUUGAAAAUCUUCAAGGUUCUACCUUGACGAAUUGUAGUUUUAUAGAAGUGUUUUUUCUGUUAGUGGAGUGGCAAAAAGUUUCUUUGGAAUAGGGAACAUCAUAGAGGGUGAGAAUCCCGUAUUUGGUCAUUCCUCCUAGCGUUUGUGAUACACUUUCAACGAGUCGGAUUGUUUUGGGAAUGCAGUCCAAAAAUGGGUGGUAAAAUUUUCAUCUAAAGCUAAAUAUUGGCGAGAGACCGAUAGCGAAACAAGUACCGUGAGGGAAAGAUGAAAAAGAACUUUGAAAAGAGAGUUUAAAACAGUACGUGAAAAUUGUCAAAAAGGGAAGCGUUUUGACACCAGUGUUUGUUUUUUUCCGAAAAUCAAUUACGAAUGUUUUUGUUUUUUAAGGAGUUUAUGACUUCAUCGGCUUGCUUCCUUUCUUUACGAAAACUUUUCUUAAUGCACUUUUUCGGUUAACAAGUCAAACAUCAAUUUUCUUUUUGUUGUAAAAGGGUAUGAGGAAGGUGGCUUUUCUUUUCGGAGAAAAGUGUUUUAUAGCCUUGUACCUCUGCAAUCGGAGAGAUUGAGGUCUGCAGCGUAGAUCCUUCGGGGUUAGAUACGUUUUGUGCUAAGUUAUAGCUUUUUCAUAGACAACUUGUUGACUAUGUUUUAGUCUUGUAGCUUACUCGCUUGACUGCUAUUUUUACCUACGCUUAGGAUGUUGAACUCUAUCACACACAG